UACUGUGUGUGGGGCCCAAGUCCAGGCCCUUGUCUCGUUACCCGGCAGGAGAGUGCCAUUCUGAUGAAUUUUGAGCAGCACUGAUUGGCCCAAAUCUUAAGGUGAAUGGGCUCUGUACGCUAUUAUUUAUCACACUUACUUUUAAUUCCUUUAACAACUUAAACUCUAGUGGAGUGUGUUCAUGAAUAACCUGCUGUGGAUUAUUUGGAUCAGGCCUUACGGAUGCAUCGUACAGCUUCUGUUAUUUCAGCUUCUACUCCAAGGGCUACAGCUGAAAUUUUCUACAAGAUUGUGUGUGUCUCCUGGGCACGCACACGCUGCAGCCUGGGCCCGCCGCCAGCGCUCCGCACUGCCUGGAGCCGCCUCCUUCAGCUUGGGACUCGCCAGGACAUCCUGAUAGUGUCCUUUUAAGUACAAAAGUUUUUAAUUUCAAUGAAGUCCAUCCAACUUACCGAUUUUAUUUUCUUUUUUGUUUGUACUUUUGGUGUCAUAUCUAAGAAUCCUUUCCUAAAUUUAAAGUCAUGAAGAUUUACGUUUAGUUC
rnacentral:lncRNA from 1 species